rnacentral:lncRNA from 1 species
GCCCGGCUGCAGCUGAAGGCACAAAUCCCAAUGUGAGGUGGUGGGGGGGCACACAGAGCACCCCCCCAUAAUGAGGUCCUGGCGGUGUGAGGUUGGGGGGGGCGAACAUCAGCUGUCCUGGUGGGGGGGGGGCGCCUUCUUCCUGACACGGGUGCGCACCCCCCAGGCGGGUCCCUCCUUGCUGGGCGCCUUCCUCCGGGCCGCACGCAGGCUGUGGCUGCGGGGGGGGGCCGGGGGUCGCGGUUAUGGGGUGCAGCUUUGGGGGCGUCCGACCACCCCUCCUCCUCCUCCUCCUCCUCGUCCGUCUCGCUCUCCAGCCCCAUCACCCUACAAACCGGCGGUGCCCCCCCGCUCUGCUCCUCCUCCUCCUCCUCCAUGUAAAGCGGGUCCCGGUAGUGCAGGGGGGUCUCAUCGGGGGCGCAGCGCAGGUCCUGCAUGCUGAAGCUGCGCAGCCGCCCGGCCAAAGCGCCCUGGCUCUUGGUGGCCGCGUGCACUGCAGCGGUGGCGGCGAUGUUGAGUCCCCUCCUGCCGAAGUGCAGCACCGCGGCGUAGCUCUGCUCCCGCGCACGGACGAUGCACGAAUCGAUCUCCUUCUCCUUUCGGGACAGCGUGGGGUGCACAAACCUGCGGUACAGCAGCCCGGCACCGCGGGUGUAUGGGGAGAGCAGCCACAGCACAAAGGCCGUCUUCAGCUCGUAGUAAAAGGGCAGCCAGGGCAGGAAGAUGUCGGUGAUGGUCUCCGCGGCCAUAAAGAGGGCGAAUACGAUCCAAUACAUCAUCCAGCGGACGUAUUCCCGGAUGUUUUUGGUCUUCACUGCUUUGUAGGAGGCGUAGGCGGGGUACAGCAUCCCGAACAGCAGCACCACCACCCGGCUGAGGAUCCACGACACCAUAGUGCUGCGGAUACCGGGCCGGGCCGGGCCGGGCCAGACCGGGCCGAACCGAACCCCCCCGGACCCCCCCCG